CGGGGUAUAGUAUAUCGGUAGUACGCGCCCUUCGGGUGGGUGAAGGCUGAGUUCAAUUCUCAGUACCCCGACCA
rnacentral:tRNA from 2 species